GGGAGGGACCUCAAUCACUACCCAUGAUGCUCUUCGUUUCCCUUCAAUAUUCAACCGUCACCAAAGCUAGCUAGCUAGCACAAGCUAGUGCAUGUUGAUACCUUUUGCGUGAGGUGUCCCUCAACGUUCUCUUCGCGAAGUCGCCCAACGCCAAAGACUCACCACAAAGCAGAAGAAGAAGCUGAUCUUGGCCACGUCGGUGAUGGUAAGCUUCCCCACCGUGCCCACCAUGGCCUCGUGGUCCUUGGCGGCCGGGUAGGACAUGCGGGACAGUUUGGCCUCCAG